rfam:Lottia gigantea unplaced genomic scaffold LOTGIsca_236, whole genome shotgun sequence.
UCAAUGUAGUGGAGAGAGUUUUAUCUCAUCUCUCAAACAAAACAGAUGAGAUUCAACUCCUCCAACUGCAAGUU